UGGAAUCUCACUAGGUCGGGGGAAUUCACAGUUAAAUCCAUGUAUGUUGCUGUUAUCAACUCCAGCUCGAUUCCUACUUCCAAGCAUGUGUGGGAUGUCAAAGUUCCUUUGAAGAUUAAGGUGUUUAUGUGGUUUCUUCAUAAACAAGUCAUCUUAACAAAGGAUAAUUUAAAAAAGCGCAAUUGGACAGGUCCUACUAGGUGUAGUUUCUGUGAUCAGGGUGAAACCAUUAAGCAUUUAUUCCUUGAGUGCCCACUAGCUAGAAUUCUUUGGACAACUGUUCAUGUUGCUUUCAAUAUUACUCCACCAAAUUCGGUGAAUAUGAUGUUUGGAGCUUGGCUUAAUAGGGUAGAGCCCGGGUUAGCUAAACAUAUUCGCGUGGGGGUGUGCGCCUUAGUGUGGGCACUGUGGAAUUGCAGAAAUGAUCUUGUUUUUAACAGAACAACAAAAACUCAUGUUUUG
rnacentral:rRNA from 1 species